GGACGAACGCUGGCGGUGUGCUUAACACAUGCAAGUCGAACGGUAAGGCCCUUCGGGGGUACACGAGUGGCGAACGGGUGAGUAACACGUGGGUGAUCUGCCCUGCACUUCGGGAUAAGCCUGGGAAACUGGGUCUAAUACCGGAUAGGACUCCUGGCUUCAUGGUUGGGGGUGUAAAGCUUUUGCGGUGUGGGAUGGGCCCGCGGCCUAUCAGCUUGUUGGUGGGGUAAUGGCCUACCAAGGCGACGACGGGUAGCCGGCCUGAGAGGGUGACCGGCCACACUGGGACUGAGAUACGGCCCAGACUCCUACGGGAGGCAGCAGUGGGGAAUAUUGCACAAUGGGCGCAAGCCUGAUGCAGCGACGCCGCGUGAGGGAUGACGGCCUUCGGGUUGUAAACCUCUUUCAAUAGGGACGAAGCGCAAGUGACGGUACCUAUAGAAGAAGGACCGGCCAACUACGUG
rnacentral:rRNA from 1 species